rnacentral:rRNA from 1 species
GGCCUAACACAUGCAAGUCGAGCGGCAGCACAGGUACUUGUACCGGGUGGCGAGCGGCGGACGGGUGAGUAAUGCCUAGGAAUCUGCCUGGUAGUGGGGGAUAACGCUCGGAAACGGACGCUAAUACCGCAUACGUCCUACGGGAGAAAGCAGGGGACCUUCGGGCCUUGCGCUAUCAGAUGAGCCUAGGUCGGAUUAGCUAGUUGGUGAGGUAAAGGCUCACCAAGGCGACGAUCCGUAACUGGUCUGAGAGGAUGAUCAGUCACACUGGAACUGAGACACGGUCCAGACUCCUACGGGAGGCAGCAGUGGGGAAUAUUGGACAAUGGGCGAAAGCCUGAUCCAGCCAGGCCGCGUGUGUGAAGAAGGUCUUCGGAUUGUAAAGCC